UACGGAGGGUGCAAGCGUUAUCCGGAUUCACUGGGUUUAAAGGGUGCGUAGGAGGGCAGGUAAGUCAGUGGUGAAAUCUCCAAGCUUAACUUGGAAACUGCCGUUGAUACUAUCUGUCUUGAAUAUUGUGGAGGUGAGCAGAAUAUGUCAUGUAGCGGUGAAAUGCUUAGAUAUGACAUAGAACACCAAUUGCGAAGGCAGCUCACUACACAAUCAUUGACUCUGAGGCACGAAAGCGUGGGGAUCAAACAGG
rnacentral:rRNA from 1 species